CUCAGCCCGGGUCCAGGAGUGGCGAGCGCGGAACUGAGGACAGCCGUGGUAACGGCAGCAAGAGGUUUCUCCGUGUCACCAGAGGGCAGCGCCCGCUCGGACGAAUCCACGGCUGGGGAGUACGAGGGUCCGGUGACCAAUUAAAUGAAGCCCGUCGCCAUGCUAUGAGCGCCCAGGAGUGCUUCACUCGUGCUCAGAGGGGCCGUGGUCUGUAGUUCAUCAUGCCGACUUUGGCCUGGGUUUGUAGGUGAGGACAUGUGCAAGGAUGGACGUCAACCGGGAGGGCCACGAUCUGGCCGGAAGACAUACCUAUCCCAGCUAGCCCAACCCAGCCCAACCUCUCAGCCUCAGGUAGGAACCAGAGCAGAUGCCUCAGCAGCACGUCCUUGAGGUGUUUCCAGGCUUGAAGCCACCAACUCGGAACUCAGCAUUUGUUUCUUGCUGGUAGGGGUUGGAGUGUCCUGAAGGAUGGAGGCCAGCAGCAGACCUCAGGCCAUGCCCAUUGUUGCUGUGGUUUUCAUCCUGCCUGAUUGGCUGUCCCAGAGGAAGGCCUGGGGUGCCUGGCAGGGGCUUUCUGCUUAGGGCCUGAGAAGCAACGUAGGACCUCUCAGGAAAGAACCCUGUGGCAGAGUUAGUAGUGGUGGGUUCUCCCAGCACAUUUGCUGUUCUCUUCUACUUCUUGCUUGGUUCUCCAGCCUUCAACUUCCCUUCAGGAAAGCUUUGAAGCGCCCUCACUCCCCACACCCAGGGCGUCACCACAGCCCCUAACCAUCCCAUUUCUCUUCUUGGACCCCAUUCUAAGGAUGGGGGUGAGCUCCAUACUAGGACACAUUUUUCCAGGCACUUGGCUGGGGAGCCUUUAAUAUGAGUGGAGACACCCUUGCUUCCCUAAUUGCAGAGCUGCGAGCACAAAGCCCAGCCCCUCUGCGCUGAGACUCCCUCAGCAC